AGUCGAGGGGCAGCGAGUAGAUUGCUUGCAAUCUACGUCGGCGACCGCGCUCACGGGUGCGUAACGCGUAUGCAACCUACCCAUUACAGGGGGAUAACACUGAGAAAUCGGUACUAAUACCCCAUAACAUCCAGGGAGGCAUCUUCUUGGGUUGAAAACUCCGGUGGUAAUGGAUGGGCAUGCGUUGUAUUAGUUAGUUGGUGGGGUAACGGCUCACCAAGACGACGAUACAUAGGGGGACUGAGAGGUUAACCCCCCACAUUGGUACUGAGACACGGACCAAACUCCUACGGGAGGCAGCAGUGAGGAAUAUUGGUCAAUGGACGCAAGUCUGAACCAGCCAUGCCGCGUGCAGGAAGACGGCUCUAUGAGUUGUAAACUGCUUUUGUACGAGGGUAAACGCAGAUACGUGUAUCUGUCUGAAAGUAUCGUACGAAUAAGGAUCGGCUAACUCCGUGCCAGCAGCCGCGGUAAUACGGAGGAUUCAAGCGUUAUCCGGAUUUAUUGGGUUUAAAGGGUGCGUAGGCGGUCGGAUAAGUUAGAGGUGAAAUCCCGGGGCUCAACUUCGGAAUUGCCUCUGAUACUGUUCGGCUAGAGAGUAGUUGCGGUAGGCGGAAUGUAUGGUGUAGCGGUGAAAUGCUUAGAGAUCAUACAGAACACCGAUUGCGAAGGCAGCUUACCAAGCUACUUCUGACGUUGAGGCACGAAAGCGUGGGGAGCAAACAGGAUUAGAUACCCUGGUAGUCCACGCAGUAAACGAUGAUAACUCGUU
rnacentral:rRNA from 1 species